GGUCUUAUGAAGUUAGCGGCGGACGGGUGAGUAACACGUGGGUAACCUGCCCAUAAGACUGGGAUAACUCCGGGAAACCGGGGAUAAUACCGGAUAACAUUUUGAACCGCAUGGUUCGAAAUUGAAAGGCGGCUUCGGCUGUCACUUAUGGAUGGACCCGCGUCGCAUUAGCUAGUUGGUGAGGUAACGGCUCACCAAGGCAACGAUGCGUAGCCGACCUGAGAGGGUGAUCGGCCACACUGGGACUGAGACACGGCCCAGACUCCUACGGGAGGCAGCAGUAGGGAAUCUUCCGCAAUGGACGAAAGUCUGACGGAGCAACGCCGCGUGAGUGAUGAAGGCUUUCGGGUCGUAAAACUCUGUUGUUAGGGAAGAACAAGUGCUAGUUGAAUAAGCUGGCA
rnacentral:rRNA from 1 species